rnacentral:rRNA from 1 species
AUUGAACGCUGGCGGCAUGCCUUACACAUGCAAGUCGAACGGCAGCACGGGGGCAACCCUGGUGGCGAGUGGCGAACGGGUGAGUAAUACAUCGGAACGUGUCCUGGAGUGGGGGAUAGCCCGGCGAAAGCCGGAUUAAUACCGCAUACGCUCUAUGGAGGAAAGCGGGGGAUCUUCGGACCUCGCGCUCAAGGGGCGGCCGAUGGCGGAUUAGCUAGUUGGUAGGGUAAAGGCCUACCAAGGCGACGAUCCGUAGCUGGUCUGAGAGGACGACCAGCCACACUGGGACUGAGACACGGCCCAGACUCCUACGGGAGGCAGCAGUGGGGAAUUUUGGACAAUGGGGGCAACCCUGAUCCAGCAAUGCCGCGUGUGUGAAGAAGGCCUUCGGGUUGUAAAGCACUUUUGUCCGGAAAGAAAUCCUCUGGGUUAAUACCUC